AAUGAUUCAAAUAGAUUUAGCACCAAAAUGUCCGGUGUCACAACGUUCUGCUUCGCACGAGCCGAGGAAUAACACUAACAAUGAAACUGCAGUAAAACACACACACACAGAUGACGGGGACAGGGCAUUUUCUUGAAAAAGCAGCAAGCUGAAAAUUAUCGUUACAGCAAUACCUAACAGACUUGAAUCCGCAAAUUGGGUAUUGGCCAGGGAUUCCCCGGCAUUUUGCGAAGUGGCCGGCCAAAGUAGAAUAAACACUUUUAGUUACAAGUGCAUCGAGUAAUGACCACACACCUGAACUGGCCAGUUUUAAUUUUGGCCGAGUUGUGAGGUCCUUUACAGCUGCCCUGUUUUGAAUACAACUAGAUCAACAACUUCUGAAACUCCAAUAAUACUACCUGCAAGUGCUGCUGAAAGAAAAAUAACCAUAACAGCCUUUAAAUUUACUACAUAUAUUCUAAUGCUGACAACAUCAAUUAGAUCUAGAUGCUGCCUGAAGAUUUCAUGUCUGUGGCAUUUUACCUCUCGAGAAAAGAUCUUUUCCCUUUGCAACUUCUGGUGUGGCUAGAGAGGCCAAUCCUUGAUACACAGCUGUAGUCACAGGUUGAGCACAUGUAAUCACCAGGCACCGUUGCAUUGUCACCUUUCUUCCUGCUGCUGUUGUGUAUGGCAUCUGCAAUCCGAGACCCUUCCUUUAUGCUCUCUCUCCAUGUGGAUCUAUCCAGUGCCACCUUUUUCCCAGCCGCUAGUGUCCAUUUUGAAGAUGCACACUAUGAUAAACUCAAUGCAGUUGACUACAAUAAUCUCCAUGACCACAUUGUUUCAACAAGAACCUGUGUGCAUCACACAUUGUAAGGGUCGAAAUUGAAAAAAAAAUAUUUGUAAGCUAUGUGCCAAAAAUGCUCCUAAUAUUCAAUGAGCUCUGACCAGGAUAACAAUCACACAUUGUGUCCGGAUGGCACUACAUCUGGGUAUCACUUCAAAAUAUCAUAGCACGAGAGCAGCCAUAACAAAAAGUACAACCAGACCAUUACUAUUAUUAUGGAUACAGUGAUGGUCAAUACUGUUGUUGUGUUUUCAAUAAUAGUUUAAUUGCUUUUUAGUUAGUUACAAUGCUAUUAAUAUUAAAAGGUAUUUUUU